rnacentral:rRNA from 1 species
UGAAGACUUUGCCGGAUUAGCUGAGAGGUGGUGCAUGGCCGUCGUCAGUUCGUACUGUGAAGCAUCCUGUUAAGUCAGGCAACGAGCGAGACCCACGCCCGCAGUUGCCAGCGUACUCUCCGGAGUGACGGGUACACUGUGGGGACCGCCGCUGCUAAAGCGGAGGAAGGAAUGGGCAACGGUAGGUCAGUAUGCCCCGAAUAUCCCGGGCUACACGCGAGCUACAAUGGUUGGUACAAUGGGUAUCUACCCCGAAAGGGGACGGGAAUCUCCUAAAACCAAUCUUAGUUCGGAUUGAGGGCUGCAACUCGCCCUCAUGAAGCUGGAAUCCGUAGUAAUCGCGUUUCAACAGAACGCGGUGAAUACGUCCCUGCUCCUU